rnacentral:rRNA from 1 species
UACGAUGGAGGCAGCAAGCGUUGUUCGGAAGUACUGGGCGUAAAGGGUGUGUAGGCGGUUGUUUAAGUUUGGUGUGAAAUCUCCCGGCUCAACUGGGAGGGUGCGCCGAAUACUGAAUGACUUCGAGUGCGGGAGAGGAAAGUGGAAUUCCUGGUGUAGCGGUGAAAUGCGUAGAUAUCAGGAGGAACACCGGUGGUGUAGACGGCUUUCUGGACCGUAACUGACGCUGAGACACGAAAGCGUGGGUAGCAAACAGG